rnacentral:rRNA from 1 species
ACAUGCAAGUCGAGCGGAGUUUAUCCUUCGGGGUAAACUUAGCGGCGGACGGGUGAGUAACACGUAGGCAACCUACCCUCUAGACUGGGAUAACUACCGGAAACGGUAGCUAAUACCGGAUAAUUCCUUGACCCACCUGGGAUAAGGAUGAAAGGCGGAGCAAUCUGCUGCUAGAGGAUGGGCCUGCGGCGCAUUAGCUAGUUGGUGGGGUAACGGCCUACCAAGGCGACGAUGCGUAGCCGACCUGAGAGGGUGAACGGCCACACUGGGACUGAGACACGGCCCAGACUCCUACGGGAGGCAGCAGUAGGGAAUCUUCCGCAAUGGGCGAAAGCCUGACGGAGCAACGCCGCGUGAGUGAUGAAGGUUUUCGGAUCGUAAAGCUCUGUUGCCAGGGAAGAACGUCCGGUAGAGUAACUGCUGCCGGAGUGACGGUACCUGAGAAGAAAGCCCCGGCUAACUACGUGCCAGCAGCCGCGGUAAUACGUAGGGGGCAAGCGUUGUCCGGAAUUAUUGGGCGUAAAGCGCGCGCAGGCGGCUGCUUAAGUCUGGUGUUUAAACCUUGGGCUCAACCUGGGGUCGCACUGGAAACUGGGCAGCUUGAGUACAGAAGAGGAAAAGUGGAAUUCCACGUGUAGCGGUGAAAUGCGUAGAGAUGUGGAGGAACACCAGUGGCGAAGGCGACUUUCUGGGCUGUAACUGACGCUGAGGCGCGAAGCGUGGGGAGCAAACAGGAUUAGAUACCUGGUAGUCCACGCCGUAAACGAUGAGUGCUAGUGUUAGG